CACUAUCGUUAACUGAAUACAUAGGUUAACGAGGCGAACCGGGGGAACUGAAACAUCUAAGUACCCCGAGGAAAAGAAAUCAACCGAGAUUCCCCCAGUAGCGGCGAGCGAACGGGGAGCAGCCCAGAGUCUGAAUCAGCUUGUGUGUUAGUGGAACGGUCUGGAAAGUCCGACGGUACAGGGUGAUAGUCCCGUACACCAAAAUGCACAGGCUGUGAACUCGAAGAGUAGGGCGGGACACGUGGUAUCCUGUCUGAAUAUGGGGGGACCAUCCUCCAAGGCUAAAUACUCCUGACUGACCGAUAGUGAACCAGUACCGUGAGGGAAAGGCGAAAAGAACCCCGGCGAGGGGAGUGAAAAAGAACCUGAAACCGUGUACGUACAAGCAGUGGGAGCACCUUCGGGUGUGACUGCGUACCUUUUGUAUAAUGGGUCAGCGACUUAUAUUCUGUAGCAAGGUUAACCGUAUAGGGGAGCCGCAGGGAAACCGAGUCUUAACUGGGCGUUAAGUUGCAGGGUAUAGACCCGAAACCCGGUGAUCUAGCCAUGGGCAGGUUGAAGGUUGGGUAACACUAACUGGAGGACCGAACCGACUAAUGUUGAAAAAUUAGCGGAUGACUUGUGGCUGGGGGUGAAAGGCCAAUCAAACCGGGAGAUAGCUGGUUCUCCCCGAAAGCUAUUUAGGUAGCGCCUCGUGAAUUCAUCUUCGGGGGUAGAGCACUGUUUCGGCUAGGGGGUCAUCCCGACUUACCAACCCGAUGCAAACUACGAAUACCGAAGAAUGUUAUCACGGGAGACACACGGCGGGUGCUAACGUCCGUCGUGAAGAGGGAAACAACCCAGACCGCCAGCUAAGGUCCCAAAGUCAUGGUUAAGUGGGAAACGAUGUGGGAAGGCACAGACAGCCAGGAUGUUGGCUUAGAAGCAGCCAUCAUUUAAAGAAAGCGUAAUAGCUCACUGGUCGAGUCGGCCUGCGCGGAAGAUGUAACGGGGCUAAACCAUGCACCGAAGCUGCGGCAGCGACACUAUGUGUUGUUGGGUAGGGGAGCGUUCUGUAAGCCUGCGAAGGUGUGCUGUGAGGCAUGCUGGAGGUAUCAGAAGUGCGAAUGCUGACAUAAGUAACGAUAAAGCGGGUGAAAAGCCCGCUCGCCGGAAGACCAAGGGUUCCUGUCCAACGUUAAUCGGGGCAGGGUGAGUCGACCCCUAAGGCGAGGCCGAAAGGCGUAGUCGAUGGGAAACAGGUUAAUAUUCCUGUACUUGGUGUUACUGCGAAGGGGGGACGGAGAAGGCUAUGUUAGCCGGGCGACGGUUGUCCCGGUUUAAGCAUGUAGGCUGGUUAUCCAGGCAAAUCCGGAUAAUCAAGGCUGAGGUGUGAUGACGAGGCACUACGGUGCUGAAGUAACAAAUGCCCUGCUUCCAGGAAAAGCCUCUAAGCAUCAGGUAACAUCAAAUCGUACCCCAAACCGACACAGGUGGUCAGGUAGAGAAUACCAAGGCGCUUGAGAGAACUCGGGUGAAGGAACUAGGCAAAAUGGUGCCGUAACUUCGGGAGAAGGCACGCUGGUGUGUAGGUGAAGUCCCUGCGGAUGGAGCUGAGACCAGUCGAAGAUACCAGCUGGCUGCAACUGUUUAUUAAAAACACAGCACUGUGCAAACACGAAAGUGGACGUAUACGGUGUGACGCCUGCCCGGUGCCGGAAGGUUAAUUGAUGGGGUUAUCCGUAAGGAGAAGCUCUUGAUCGAAGCCCCGGUAAACGGCGGCCGUAACUAUAACGGUCCUAAGGUAGCGAAAUUCCUUGUCGGGUAAGUUCCGACCUGCACGAAUGGCGUAAUGAUGGCCAGGCUGUCUCCACCCGAGACUCAGUGAAAUUGAACUCGCUGUGAAGAUGCAGUGUACCCGCGGCAAGACGGAAAGACCCCGUGAACCUUUACUAUAGCUUGACACUGAACAUUGAGCCUUGAUGUGUAGGAUAGGUGGGAGGCUUUGAAGCGUGGACGCCAGUCUGCGUGGAGCCAACCUUGAAAUACCACCCUUUAAUGUUUGAUGUUCUAACGUUGGCCCCUUACCGGGGUUGCGGACAGUGUCUGGUGGGUAGUUUGACUGGGGCGGUCUCCUCCCAAAGCGUAACGGAGGAGCACGAAGGUUAGCUAAUCCUGGUCGGACAUCAGGAGGUUAGUGCAAUGGCAUAAGCUAGCUUGACUGCGAGCGUGACGGCGCGAGCAGGUGCGAAAGCAGGUCAUAGUGAUCCGGUGGUUCUGAAUGGAAGGGCCAUCGCUCAACGGAUAAAAGGUACUCCGGGGAUAACAGGCUGAUACCGCCCAAGAGUUCAUAUCGACGGCGGUGUUUGGCACCUCGAUGUCGGCUCAUCACAUCCUGGGGCUGAAGUAGGUCCCAAGGGUAUGGCUGUUCGCCAUUUAAAGUGGUACGCGAGCUGGGUUUAGAACGUCGUGAGACAGUUCGGUCCCUAUCUGCCGUGGGCGCUGGAGAAUUGAGGGGGGCUGCUCCUAGUACGAGAGGACCGGAGUGGACGCAUCACUGGUGUUCGGGUUGUCAUGCCAAUGGCACUGCCCGGUAGCUAAAUGCGGAAGAGAUAAGUGCUGAAAGCAUCUAAGCACGAAACUUGCCCCGAGAUGAGUUCUCCCUGAGACUUUAAGUCUCCUGAAGGAACGUU
rnacentral:rRNA from 1 species